rnacentral:rRNA from 1 species
CAGCCGCCGCGGUAAUACAGAGGGUGCGAGCGUUAAUCGGAUUUACUGGGCGUAAAGCGCGCGUAGGUGGUUUGUUAAGUUGGAUGUGAAAUCCCCGGGCUCAACCUGGGAACUGCAUCCAAAACUGGCAAGCUAGAGUAUGGUAGAGGGUGGUGGAAUUUCCUGUGUAGCGGUGAAAUGCGUAGAGAUCUGGAGGAAUACCGAUGGCGAAGGCAGCCAUCUGGCCUAAUACUGACGCUGAGGUACGAAAGCAUGGGGAGCAAACAGGAUUAGAUACCCCCGUAGUCCCUGUCUCUUAUAC